rnacentral:rRNA from 1 species
GUUUACACUUCGGGGUUGUAGGACUGCGAUAUAGGAUUAAUCAUUAUAGAAGAAUUACCUGGGAAGGUAAGCCAAAGAGAGUAACAGCCUCGUAUUUAAAAUGAUAGAUUAACCUUAGCAGUAUCCUGAGUACGGCGAGACACGCGAAAUCUCGUCGGAAUCUGGGAGGACCAUCUCCCAACCCUAAAUACUCUCUAGUGACCGAUAGUGAACCAGUACCGUGAGGGAAAGGUGAAAAGCACCCCGGGAGGGGAGUGAAAUAGAACCUGAAACCGUGUGCCUACAACAAGUUCGAGCCCGUUAAUGGGUGAGAGCGUGCCUUUUGUAGAAUGAACCGGCGAGUUACGAUAUGAUGCGAGGUUAAGUUGAAGAGACGGAGCCGUAGGGAAACCGAGUCUUAAUAGGGCGCCAUAGUAUCAUGUUGUAGACCCGAAACCAUGUGACCUACCCAUGAGCAGGUUGAAGGUGAGGUAAAACUCACUGGAGGACCGAACCAGGGCACGUUGAAAAGUGCUUGGAUGACUUGUGGGUAGCGGAGAAAUUCCAAACGAACUUGGAGAUAGCUGGUUCUCUCCGAAAUAGCUUUAGGGCUAGCGUCGAUGUUAAGUCUCUUGGAGGUAGAGCACUGUUUGGGUGAGGGGUCCAUCCCGGAUUACCAAUCUCAGAUAAACUCCGAAUGCCAACGAGAUAUAAUCGGCAGUCAGACUGCGAGUGCUAAGAUCCGUAGUCGAAAGGGAAACAGCCCAGACCACCAGCUAAGGUCCCAAA